rfam:Hammondia hammondi strain H.H.34 contig01211, whole genome shotgun sequence.
CAGCGCAGCGGUUACGACAGAACGCAUCAAUCUUUCGCCUUUUACUAAAGAUUGCCGUGUCGUCUCCGCAUCCAAUGCGUCUGUAUACCAAUUUUUGGGGCGCUUAGGCGCC